rnacentral:lncRNA from 1 species
UCCAAUUAUACAUCAAAUAUAUAUAACUUAUUAAAAAUUUAUGGAUAUACUCUCUUUCUAAGACCUUACAAGAGCAAGUAGCAGAAUACAGUAAGUUAUCAAUUAUGGGAAAAGAAAUACACAUAUAUAUAUAUAUACACACACACACACACAUAUUAGGGAGUUAAUCCUGUAAUCAAUCAUUCAAGAACAUGAUAACUUUUUGACUUUUCCUUUUUUGGGUUUUGUCAAUGGGUUGAUAUUUGUCAUACUCGACCCCACCAAAGCAAUCCAUUCUAAGAGGAAUAUGCCAAACACAUAUGGAAUCAGAAAAUCAUUCUCUCUUCAGCGAACAACACUUCAUUUUUUUACAUCAUAAAUUUAUAAAAUGAACUUGUUUACAUCAUACAUGACUAACAUAUAUUAUUCAAGAAUCAAUCAGAAAAACUAACAAAAAUUUCAUCCUCCAAGCAUCCACCUUUCUUGUUUAUCUCCCCUGAAAUAUAUAUAUAUAUAUGUAUAUAUAAUGUGUAGAAUCAAAAUUGCACUAUCCACAAACUUAUUGACAAAUCAAUCAUCUGCAAUAUGUUCUUGUUCGGGGAUUAAAGAUGUUCUUACCUAGUCUUCUGAACAUCUGACUUGUUCAAUCUAUGGAUACUCACUUGGGACAACUGCUUUCUGCUUCUAAAAGACACAGCCUGCUGAAGAAAGAUAUAGGCUGUGUUUAUUACAUGAAAACAUUUUCUACCUUUUAUCUUGUAUCUUUCUAAUUCAUAUCCUUUUAUGCACAAAAACAUUUAGAUGUUCAAAACAGUUUUUCUCUUUUCAAAGUCAUGUUCCAUUUGUAUUCUGCUUUCCUAAAUAUUAUUUUCAUAUUAAACAUGACAUUUUUUUCUCAGUAGAUAUAUGAAUAUAUAAAAUUAAAAAGUAAAACAUGUUUUCCUGAACCAAAUGAAGGCGUAAUUUACAGUUAGUGAAAUCAGUUUCUUAGGUGGAAAUGAAAAAUUGAAAACCAGUUUGCCAUUUCCCACCUCUAUUUACCUCACAAUCUAUGAAGUCGGUUUCUUGGCAGCUAAAAGUGCAUCCUUGCCUACAAAAUUCAUGAGUUCCAUCUUUGCCACCUCCAUUACCACUUGGAAUUCUAUGUUCGUAUACCUUCCCCUACAUUGCAUUUUAGCACAAUUAGCCCAACUACUUUCAGCAAGCAUUAAGAAUUUGUAAACAAAUGCACUGAAAAGCAGAUAACUCAAAGGGAAAUGAGACUCAAUUAUAGGACCUCAGAAUCAGACUAGAAAUAUGAGUAUCUCACAACAUAAAACUUUGUUCCAUUUUUCAUUCGCACGUCAUGUAACCAUUCUGUUAGCUACUCAGUUUCUCAGCAUCUGCCAGCUCCACAGCUCAUGCAGGAUCAUGUGUUAUCCAGAAUUUAUUUAAGCACGAAAUAUUUCGAUUAUGUGCCAAAAAUAUACUUUGAAAUUCCACUCAGAAUAGUUUGAAAGGUUUGCUCAAAAAAUUGUUUGAAAGGUCAAAUUUAAUGGACAUAGUUGAUUGACAAUAUAAAGUUUAUCAAGAAAAUAUC